CUCCAGUCAGUGGCGGCGAGGGGUGCGUUCAUUGUGAGCAGGUUUUCAGAGACCUGCCUGCCUGGGUGCCGCCGCCGUUCUCUCAGUCGUGUGUUCACCUCGUUCAGUCCAGUGUUGCUGUCAUCCGUUUACCCAGUUUAUACAUUAUACCUGGAUACCUUUUUGGUCAAGGAAAAUACAGUUAAUGGUUUUGCCUGAAGAAUCCAAGAUGUCUCGCACCGACGAGGUUCACCGCAUCACGGAGAAUGUCUACAAGACUAUCAUGGAGCAGUUCAACCCUUGUUUACGGAACUUCGUUGCCAUGGGGAAGAGCUACGAGAAGGCGCUUGCCACUGUGACAUUUGCUGCCAAAGGCUACUUUGAUGCCCUGGUCAGGAUGGGCGAGCUGGCCAGCGAGAGCCAUGGCUCCAAAGAUCUGGGGGACGUGCUGUUCCAGAUGGCUGAGGUCCACAGGCAGAUCCAGGUCCAGUUGGAGGACAUGCUCAAGUCCUUCCACAACGAGCUGCUGUCCGAGCUGGAGAAGAAGGUGGAGCUGGACGCACGCUAUCUGACCGCGGCGCUGAAGAAGUACCAGAUGGAGCACAAGAGCAAAGGGGAGAGUCUGGAGAAGUGCCAGGCGGAGCUGAAGAAGCUGCGCAGGAAGAGCCAGGGCAGCAAGAACCCGGCCAAGUACGGGGAGAAGGAGAUGCAGUUUGUGGAGACCAUCAGCAGCAAGCAGAGCGAACUGGAUACCUUCAUCGCCGAGGGCUACAAGACGGCGCUGUCCGAGGAGCGCCGCCGGUACUGCUUCCUGGUCGACCGCCAGUGCGCCGUGGCCAAGAACAGCAGCGCCUACCAUGGAAAGGGUAAGGACCUGUUGACCCAGAAGAUCCCCAUGUGGCAGCAGGCGUGCUCGGACCCCAACAAGCUGCCGGAGCGUGCCAUGCUCCUGGCCCAGCAGAUGGGCUCGGUGGGCGGAGCCAGCCCCCUGCACACCUCCAAGUCCAACCUGGUGAUCUCGGACCCCAUCCCGGGGGCCCAGCCGCUCCCCGUGCCCCCCGAGCUGGCCGUGUUCAUGGGCAGCGGCCUGGGACAUCAGGCGAGGCUGAUGGGCCCUGAGGGCAUGGCCAUGGUGAACGGCACGACGGGCGUCCACGGGGACGACUACUGGACGGAGGGCGGCGGCGGCGGCGGGAGCGCGGGCCCGGUCCAGGGGGGACCCCCGUCCCCCCAGGGCCCCCCCCAGGGCCAGCCCCAGAGGCAGGUCAGCGAGGUGUACUCCAACACCCUGCCCGUCCGUAGGCCCGCCCCGGCCAAGAGCAAGAACCCAGUGGGAGAGACGAGGACCCUCCCCCGCUCCAGCUCCAUGGCGGCCGGCCUGGAGAGGAACGGGCGCUCCCGCGUGCAGGCCAUCUUCUCGCACGCCGCCGGGGACAACGGCACCCUGCUGAGCUUCGCCGAGGGCGACCUCAUCACCCUGCUGGUGCCCGAGGCCCGGGACGGCUGGCACUACGGCGAGAACGAGAAGAACAAGAUGCGUGGCUGGUUCCCCUUCUCCUACACGCGCGUUCUGCCCGAAACGGAGAACGAGAAGCUCAAAGUCAACCUCAACCACGGGAAGAGCAGCAGCACAGGGAACCUCCUGGAGAGCGACAUGCCCAUGCCGGACUACGGCCUCACCGCCCGCCUGCUGGCCCAGAGUCUAGCACAGAGCCGGCCCAGGCCCUACAGCAUGGCAGGCUUCACCACGCAGCCGGCCAUCGAGGACUAUGACAGCCGCUUUGCCACGAGCGACAGUCCUGAUGGCAAAUUGAUUUCGACUGUGUGAGAACAGACAUACAGACAGACACAGGAAAACGCUUCGGAAUAGCACAGGGGCCCUUCUUCCAAAAACCUGCCCCCCCCCCCCCCCCACCCCUCCCUCCUUCACCCCUUCACCCCCCACCCCGACAUCCACCUAGCCUACCACCUUUCCUGUCCUCUCCUGCUCCUCUUCCUCCUCCUCUGCCUCCUCUUCCUCUUCUCUGCCCCCUCCCCUUCUCUUGCUCCCGCUUCCACACCCCUCACCCCUUUCCCUCCCGUGGAAGAGGCCGGUCUCAUCCAUCCGUUCUGUCCCUCUCUUCCUUCCUUCCUCCUUCCCGGGCUCCCAUCUCUGCCUCCCUCCGUCCCGUCCGCCCAUCCACCCCUCCGUCCUGUUCUCCGGGGGUGUCGGCCCGUCGGUGGUGGUGGUGGUGGUGGUGUCGUUGUGAGGACAGUAGCGGUUGGUGGGUGGAGGAUUGCCCGGAGAGCUCGGGCCCUGGCGGGGCCUACCGGCUCCCAGAGGGCAUGGCCCCCAGCGGGGCCUACCUGCUGGCCCUGCAGCAGCGAUACGGACUCUGAAUGCCCCGCUAGUCUCGCGGUCCCCCAACCGAGCAUUGGACUUGACCCGGUUUUAGUUUUUGUUUUUCAUCUCCUACUUCUUCUUCUUCUACGUCUUCUUCUUCUCUCAAAAGACUGCCUUUGCUACUGCUUGUCUUUUCAUGCAUGUACAUGGUUGUGUCAUUUUGUUAAGAAAAUAACAAAAACUAACAAAAACGGAAAACUAAACUGACAUUUUCAUGUACUGUACAAGUGCCAAAAGACGUAAUUGUCGUUGUUCUGAUGCCACACGCAUACACAGACACACGUGCAUACACAGGCACACUCAUACAAAGACAGACGCACAGACACACAACCAUACACACACACACAGACACACUCACACACACACACACACGUGGACUUGUUUACAAUAAGGCUGUGCAGCAGAUUACUGUGUUGGAUUCUGUUGGUCGUGCACUGUUCUGUGUGUCUUCGCUGAGCUGAUUUGAAUAUCCAGCAGGGCGCAUAGUGUGUGUGUCAAAUCUGCCUUAGGAGUUAUAUUCAACACACCAAAUUGUCCUGUAUCCGAAAUAUUUUUGUAAUGUAUGAGGGGAGGGAGGAAGAAAUAUUAAGUAACAUUCUAUAUUAAAAAAAGUUUACCCUUUUUUUAUUUUAUCCGUCCUACCGAAUCCUCAAUCUCUUCUGGCCUGAGCUUGCAUGUUUCCUCGUCUUGUGUGGUCUUUUGCCCACGUUGAAAGACAUAGUAUGGUAGGCUGAGACUCUGGCACUGGCCUUCCCGAUGUCAAUCAAAAAAGACCAACUUACCGUAUUUAAAUGAACAGGCAGUUAGGGCUACUGCCUGCCGUUGGUCUAAUUUGGAAUAUUUUUCUGGAUAGUAUUUUUGAGUAUUUAUCCAAUCAAUUUUUAAUAUUCCAUGUGGCGAUUCCUGGUGAAAUAAGAUUCCGGUCUUCAAAUUAAUGAUGUAAAAAAAAAAAAAAAAGAUCUCAAAGAUGCAGGGGGAUGGGGGGGUCAAUUUGAGACAUCCACUUUCAACUGCGCUUAAAUUGCUUUCAUCAUAAUUCUGUUUAUGUACAUGCCCCGCGCAUAAUGGACCAUGUGAGCCUUUUUAGUGGAAAAAAAAACACUCAAAUUAAAGUUAGGUGGUUUUCACACAAAAACAGUGUUGCAAUUGUAUUCCCUGAGUGGCUAUGUAGUUUUUAGUCUUUCCUUUAAAGAAGUUGUUAUUGUCCUUGUAAAACGGCAAAAUAUUCCAGAAACAAAAAGAAAAUGCUGAUUUUCGUUGAAAGUGUUCAUCUUAUGCAUGCUGUUGAGGGAUCUCAUGUGGUACACAAAAUUGACCUUGAAUGUAUGGUGACUUUUUACAAAGGUAUUCUAAAUAAAACAUAUAUCUAUAUAUUAAUAAACAGUCUUGUCUGGAGAGAAAUCUGUUCUGUCGGUUAUCUGGCCUCCCUUUCUUUCUUUAAAAAUCACAUUCUGCGAUUUUUAUUAUCCUUUCCGGCCGCAUUGUGGACUGCUUCUUGCCAAGCAUGCACUGUGUUCAAUCGCUGCAUGCCAUCCAUAGGCAUGACCCUCCAUAGCCACGCCCACCACUUCCUGGUUCUUCCUACCUUGCCCCGCCUACCCCUUGCCUGGCCCCGCCCACCAGUGCUUCUUGGCUCCUCCCUCAUCUUCAUUGUGUGUGUAUGGUUUUCUGUUGAGUCGCUGCCGUUUGCUGCCUUGCUGCAUUGUGCGACUGCCUUGUGUUGCUAGGAUUGCGGUGGGUUGUGUAAAAGAAUGAUCUAGUCUGCGUUUGUGGUGAUCGUUCAAGCGAGGAUUUGUAAUCGUUUUGUGUGUGUGUGUGUUGUUGAUGCUUUAGUGGAAUUUCGGCCGACCAGAGUCUCUGUUCUGAUCUUCUUGUUGAACUUCUUCAAAGGUCUAGCUGCGUAUACAUUUGAAUGUUUUGUAUUUUAAAGCUUUAUCGUUAAGAGUUUAUACGGUCUAAGGCAUGAUGAGCAUGCUGUGUACUGCCAUCCCGUCAUUUCACAUCUUCCAGUUUGUACACCUUCCCGCAAACUAACCAGCAGUGGCUACGUGCAUUGUAAGAGUUGUGAGCCAUGCAUGAUCCUGAUGAAAGAUGAGCGAUUCAAACCGAAGGGUUCUCUUUACCUUCCAGUUUGGGUCCAGAAUUGUCCCAGUUCUGAGAGAACAGGACCUCCCGACCGCUCUCUGGAGGUCUACCUCAGGCCUACCUUUAUGGAGGACCGCUCUGCGCCCAUCUUCUACUAGCAGACGGCCACGCACCCCCGACCUUACCGCUCAAAGGGUCGGCCUCCGUACAUGAGGGGGAAGAAAAUGGCCGCCGCCAUCGGUUGGGUGCCAGUUCUGAUGACCGGCUCCCGGAAAAAAAAAGUUGACACUGGUACCUUGGGGGCAACGAUCUUAAAGUGACACUCACAAGUUUUUUGUUUUUUUUCUCCACACUGCAUAGCAUUCAAGUAGGCGGCUUUGGGCAACCCCGGCCGUUUAUCGUGCGUGCGUUAUCAUUGUGACGCUUUGCAAAUCACUUCAGGGCGGCAGGUUAACACUGAUUUAUGUGGUCAACUCUUGGCUGAAACGUUAGAGUCAGCGAAUCAGGAGGUUGUUUUCAUUGGCUAGUGGGUCGCACUCACGAUGGGAAACGUGGGGCGAAAGCCUCGCGUCGGGGACAUUUACACUGAUGGAGGAUAGUGAAACUAAUAUAUACUCUCUGCGCAUCGCUGCUGUGGAAAAUGUCUAUUAAUUGUGAUUUGAGAAUUGUAUGCGUGUGUGCGUAUGUGUGUGUGUAUAUAUAUGUAUAUAUCGUUUAAGAUUUAGGCAGUGAUGGUGCUCUCUAAACAAGGUGUCCGUCAGUUGCUUGAAGAGCAGGUUGUCUGAAAUUAGCGUUAGGCUGCGAAAAGAUACAGCACUGGGUAAAUGUGUUUUUUGAAAGGUGCAUUGAAAGUGUGCAAUGGCUACAGUUAGAUCCUGUUUUUUUUUUUAAACGCUAGUUUCUAGCUCAGAACACAUGUUAUAGUAACUAUACAGUAUACCAUUAAACUAUACCGUUUAAUUUGGGGACUGUGCCUUCAUUUUUUUAAAGGGGUUACAGCCUUGAUAUAAUCAAUAUUCUACGCACUGUUAUAUGAAAAUGAUUACGCAUCACAACUCUGCUUGUAUACUUUAUUUGGUUUAUGCUGUUACUUUGCCGUUUUGUUUUGUCUUCUGGUGAUCUUUAAUAAUCUAAAGUGCGUGACUGCAAUGUAAGUUGCUGUGAAAAAAAAAAGGCAGCAUCACUUUUGCCGAUAUAAGAAUAUAAUGAAUUGUCUUUUAUGUUAAUUCAAAGCAGCCAAAUAUUGGCCCGUCAAAAAUCCAUGUAAAUAAUGGGUCAUUUUGGAGUAUCAUUUUCAGCUUUAAUUAGAGUGGUAUCUUAUUGAUUCAUAUGAUUCAACUAUCAUAAUAUUGUCUUAUAAUAUGAUCACAUUGUUUUACUGUGAGCUGACUUAUUGCUUCAAGUGCAAAUAAUCACCAGUAACAAUCAAGACAAUGUAUAUUUUAAACAACUUGCAUACUGGCAACUGUAUGGGGAGACGAUUGUUCGCGCGUUGCAAUCACGUUCUCAGAAAUGUCCAAUUGCUUUGGUUAUCAAACCGUUUUCUAAUGUUUGUCCUUUUCUCACUUUUUGUUCUUUCUUGUUCUGUAUAUUUGUGUUGUACAGGGCGUGCGGUACGUGGAGUUAUUGUGUCAAAUAAAAACUUCAUUGUGUACAGCAUU